rnacentral:rRNA from 1 species
UACGGGGGGGGCAAGCGUUGUUCGGAAUUACUGGGCGUAAAGGGCCAGUAGGCGGCCAACUAAGUCCGACGUGAAAUCCCAAGGCUUAACCUUGGAACUGCGUCGGAUACUGGAUGGCUUGAAUUCGGGAGAGGGAUGCAGAAUUCCAGGUGUAGAGGUGAAAUUCGUAGAUAUCAGGAGGAACACCGGUGGCGAAGGCGCACAUCUGGCCCGAUACUGACGCUGAAGCGCGAAAGCUAGGGGAGCAAACGGG